CAGUAGCCACGGUAAUACGAAGGGUGCAAGCGUUAAUCGGAAUUACUGGGCGUAAAGCGUGCGUAGGCGGUUUGUUAAGUCUGUUGUGAAAUCCCCGGGCUCAACCUGGGAAUGGCAAUGGAUACUGGCAAGCUAGAGUGUGUCAGAGGAUGGUGGAAUUCCCGGUGUAGCGGUGAAAUGCGUAGAGAUCGGGAGGAACAUCAGUGGCGAAGGCGGCCAUCUGGGACAACACUGACGCUGAGGCACGAAAGCGUGGGGAGCAAACAGGAUUAGAUACCCGAGUAGUCCCUGUCUCUUAUAC
rnacentral:rRNA from 1 species